UUAUAUUAAAUUUAUUUUAAGUUAAUAGUGUACUGGUUAUAACUAAUAUCAAAUCUUUACUAAUACUUGAUUUCUUUUUAUGAUGGUUGACUUUGCGAGAACUAACGGAGCAUUAGUGUCAAGAAUGGGCUGAGAUUCGAAUUCAGUCGGUUUUUCGCUCUUUUUUGACAAAAAGGGAUCAAGAUCGGGACCGUCCAUUUGACUUCACACGGAUCACCAUCUGCUUUCUCUCUCAAUGCUCACACAUCUGACAAAAAGGGAUGCCAAAAGCAGGGAAGUACAAUCUACAGGAAAAAGCAACACUUUACUUUUGUGUGAAAGACAGCUUGCUUGCUGCAGUCUCUAUAAUAUAUCAACACUCUUCCAUACACUGUUUGAAAGACAGCACUGCUUCCUUCAGUCUCUAUAAAUAAUCCAGAGAUAUCUACACUCUACUCACACUUUACAAACUCUCAACUACACUCAACUGAAAUUAAUAUAUCAACUCUUUGCAUUCGGAUCUUGCGUUGUUUCUCGGCUCUCACAUCAAGGUUUUAAAAUUUUUGUCGGCUUUUCACAUCUCCCUCUUGCA